GUUGUAUAGUCAAGUAAUUAAGUGCAUGUGGUGGAUGCCUUGGCAGUCAGAGGCGAUGAAAGACGUGAUAGCCUGCGAAAAGCUCCGGGGAGGCGGCAAAUAUCCUUUGAUCCGGAGAUGUCUGAAUGGGGGAACCCACCUACUUUAAGGUAGGUAUUGCAACAUGAAUACAUAGUGUUGCAAGGCGAACGAGGGGAAGUGAAACAUCUCAGUACCCUUAGGAAAAGAAAUCAAUUGAGAUUCCCUCAGUAGCGGCGAGCGAACGGGGAUCAGCCCAUUAAGUUAUGUGUGUUUUAGUGGAACGCUCUGGGAAGUGCGAACGUAGAGGGUGAUAUUCCCGUACACGAAAGGGCACACAUAAUGAUGACGAGUAGGGCGAGGCACGUGAAACCUUGUCUGAAUAUGGGGGGACCAUCCUCCAAGGCUAAAUACUCCUGACUGACCGAUAGUGAACCAGUACCGUGAGGGAAAGGCGAAAAGAACCCCUGUGAGGGGAGUGAAAUAGAUCCUGAAACCGCAUGCAUACAAGCAGUGGGAGCACCUUCGUGGUGUGACUGCGUACCUUUUGUAUAAUGGGUCAGCGACUUAUAUUCAGUAGCGAGGUUAACCGUAUAGGGGAGCCGUAGAGAAAUCGAGUCUUAAUAGGGCGUUUAGUUGCUGGGUAUAGACCCGAAACCAGGCGAUCUAUCCAUGAGCAGGUUGAAGGUUGGGUAACACUAACUGGAGGACCGAACCCACUGUCGUUGAAAAGCCAGGGGAUGACUUGUGGAUAGGGGUGAAAGGCUAAUCAAGCCUGGUGAUAGCUGGUUCUCCCCGAAAGCUAUUUAGGUAGCGCCUCGGACGAAUACCAUAGGGGGUAGAGCACUGUUUCGGCUAGGGGGUCAUCCCGACUUACCAAACCGAUGCAAACUCCGAAUACCUAUGAGUACUAUCCGGGAGACAGACUGCGGGUGCUAACGUCCGUAGUCAAGAGGAAAACAAUCCAGACCGCCAGCUAAGGCCCCAAAAUCAUAGUUAAGUGGGAAACGAUGUGGGAAGGCAUAGACAGCUAGGAGGUUGGCUUAGAAGCAGCCACCCUUUAAAGAAAGCGUAAUAGCUCACUAGUCGAGUCGGCCUGCGCGGAAGAUGUAACGGGGCUAAAACUAUGUGCCGAAGCUGCGGAUGUAUACUUUGUAUACGUGGUAGGGGAGCGUUCUGUAAGCCGAUGAAGGUGUGUUGAGAAGCAUGCUGGAGGUAUCAGAAGUGCGAAUGCUGACGUGAGUAACGACAAAACGGGUGAAAAACCCGUUCGCCGAAAGACCAAGGGUUCCAGUCCAACGUUAAUCGGGGCUGGGUGAGUCGACCCCUAAGGCGAGGCCGAAAGGCGUAGUCGAUGGGAAAAUGGUUAAUAUUC
rnacentral:rRNA from 1 species